rnacentral:rRNA from 1 species
UGAUUUCUUCGGAAUGAAAUCUGAUCUGACUGAGUGGCGGACGGGUGAGUAACGCGUGAGCAACCUGCCCUUCGGAGGGGGAUAGUGUCUGGAAACGGACAGUAAUACCGCAUAACGUAUUUUUACCGCAUGAUAGAAAUACCAAAACUGAGGUGCCGAAGGAUGGGCUCGCGUUGGAUUAGAUAGUUGGUGGGGUAACGGCCUACCAAGUCGACGAUCCAUAGCCGGACUGAGAGGUUGAACGGCCACAUUGGGACUGAGACACGGCCCAGACUCCUACGGGAGGCAGCAGUGGGGAAUAUUGCACAAUGGGGGAAACCCUGAUGCAGCAACGCCGCGUGAAGGAAGACGGUUUUCGGAUUGUAAACUUCUGUUCUUAGUGAAGAAUAAUGACGGUAGCUAAGGAGCAAGCCACGGCUAACUACGUGCCAGCAGCCGCGGUAAUACGUAGGUGGCAAGCGUUGUCCGGAAUUACUGGGUGUAAAGGGAGCGCAGGCGGGAAGCCAAGUCAGCUGUGAAAACUACGGGCUUAACUUGUAGACUGCAGUUGAAACUGGUUUUCUUGAGUGAAGUAGAGGUUGGCGGAAUUCCGAGUGAAGCGGUGAAAUGCGUAGAUAUUCGGAGGAACACCGGUGGCGAAGGCGGCCAACUGGGCUUUAACUGACGCUGAGGCUCGAAAGCGUGGGGAGCAAACAGGA